UACGAAGGGGGCUAGCGUUGUUCGGAAUUACUGGGCGUAAAGGGCGCGUAGGCGGUGUGUCAAGUCAGGCGUGAAAGCCCCGGGCUCAACCUGGGAACAGCGCUUGAGACUGGCACGCUCGAGUUCGGGAGAGGAUGGUGGAAUUCCCAGUGUAGAGGUGAAAUUCGUAGAUAUUGGGAAGAACACCGAUGGCGAAGGCAGCCAUCUGGACCGACACUGACGCUGAGGCGCGAAAGCGUGGGAGCAAACAGG
rnacentral:rRNA from 1 species